rfam:Chaetomium globosum CBS 148.51 scaffold_7 genomic scaffold, whole genome shotgun sequence.
ACAUACGACCAUAUCCACAAGAGAACUCGGGAUCCCGUCCGCUCUCCCCUCGAUAAACUUGUGAGAGCCGAACUAGUACUCAGGUCGGUGACGACUGGGGAAUCCUCGGUGUUGUAUGUU